AGCUUGCUCCCUCAAGUUAGUGGCGGACGGGUGAGUAACGCGUGAGCAACCUGCCUCAAAGAGGGGGAUAACAUUCUGAAAAGGAUGCUAAUACCGCAUAAGCGCACAGCAUCGCAUGAUGCAGUGCGAAAAACUCCGGUGGUAUAAGAUGGACCCGCGUUGGAUUAGCUAGUUGGUGAGGUAACGGCCCACCAAGGCGACGAUCCAUAGCCGACCUGAGAGGGUGACCGGCCACAUUGGGACUGAGACACGGCCCAGACUCC
rnacentral:rRNA from 1 species